CCCAACCUGUAACCAUAGCAACAUUAAAGAGCACAACUGUCAAAGCUUAUUGGUUAUGAAGUUUUGAAGAAUGGGAUGCAGCAGAGGAAAAAGAAAUGGAGAAGACAAGAAAGAAACCAAGUGAAACACAGCACAAGGAAAUGACACGUGAAGAGCUUAAAAUGAUAGAGGAAGAAAAGGAUGACAUUAAUACAAAAAAGGCAACAAAAUGGGCAGUUGAUAUACUGAGAAACUUUCUCUACUUUUCUCUACAGUUAUGGUUAAUGACACCUUACGUGAAUUUUAUGCCUUGGUUCAGGCUGGCAGCGAAUACAGUGUGGCAAGUUGUCAUGACAAUAAAAAGUGCUAUUGUCCUCCAUGCAAACCUGAGGCUGCUCCUGAUUCUGCUGCAGAUAAGGGAUGGCUUGAAGCUGUAUAGCUUGUGCGAUAUCAUGGCCAAAUACCAUGAUAACUGUCAGCCUUUGUUUGUACCAGGAGUAGAAAUGACAUUCCAAGCAGAAUUCAGUGAGAGGCUCAAACAAGGACCAGGUGGAGGUGACUUUAAUGAAUCAUCUGCAGGAAUUGGAGCAAGGAAACUGAAUCAGGGAUGGAGAAAGCUGCACCUCCCUCAUCAUCUCCAAAAGCAUUUCUUGAGUAGAUAACAGGGCAAGGUCAUGUUCC